AUAUUGAACUAAAUAAAAAUAUAUUAACUAAAAUAUCAUUAAACAAAUUAUUUAAUAAACCAAAUUUUAUUAUUUCAUUUAUAAUAAUAAAUUAUUUAUUUAUUACACUAAUUAUUGUUGUAAAAAUCUCUAAUAUCAAUUUAGGAUCUUUACGGAAAACUUUAUAAUGUUACCUUCACGUUUAAAAAAUAGUUUAUUAAAAAUUAUAAAUGGAUCCUUAGUAGAUUUACCAACACCAUCAAAUAUUACAACAAUAUGAAAUUUUGGUUCAUUAUUAGGAUUAUGUUUAGUAACUCAACUAAUUACAGAAAUCAGAAGAGCGUUGUG
rnacentral:lncRNA from 1 species